CAGUCUCUCAGACUUGCAGGGAUCGGACCUGAAAGUUGAUUGUUGUUUACUCCAAGCCUUUGGAGAGACCCACCAAGGCAAACGUCCGACGGAAUUGUACCAUUCAACUGGUUUCCGGAAACUUGAAGUUCAAUUAGCUUCGGCAGGUUUCCGAUCCCUGGAGGGAUUGAACCUGACAGUUGGUUAUCAGCAAGGAACAACACUUCCAUGUUGCUCAGUCGGGAAAAUGACGAAGGAAUCGGACCAUUGAGCUGAUUCGAACUCAAAUCCAAAUCCGUUAGCUCUUUCAGGUUGCCUAGUUCAGGAGGAAUGGACCCCUUGAGUUGAUUUCCGUACAGAUGAAGCAUGAGGAGGUUGGAGAGAUUACCCAACGACGAAGGAAUCACACCGGACAAAUUAUUCGUGUGAAGGCUUAUAUUCACAAGCGACACUAAGUUUCCAAGACUAUCUGGAAUCUGACCCGAGAGUCUGUUCUUGAAAGCAAAGAACAGAUUAAGUUUACGUAACUUGCCAUAGCUCGAAGGAAUAGAACCUGUAAGGCUAUUCUGGUCUGUGUAGAGCUCAACCAACUCCAACAAGUUACCCAAUUCAGGAGGAAGGGAGCCCGAAAGGGAGUUGUUAUAGAUAUAAAGCCAUUCCAACUUGCUCAGCUUCCCCAAAGAAGCAGGAAUUGUACCGGUCAGGAGAUUAUUAUACAGUGCAAGAUCCUGAAGACGGCUCAACUGACCGAGCUCCUCGGGAAUGGAACCCACCAGUUGAUUAUCAGCAAGAUGGAGGGUGUUAAGGUUUUCAAGGAGACCAAUCUCAGGCGGGAUGGUGCCAGAGAACUGAUUCUCCGACAGGUCAAGGUAAACAAGGUGGCUCGAAAGGUUAGCGAGCUGAGGAGGGAUGGGACCCGAGAGCUCGUUUUGGUAGAGGUCAAUGUAGGAAAUUUUAGGGAGAGUGUGGAAUGGGAAGUGUUGAAAGGUGCUACCUUGGAUGCCCGAGACACUGAGGUUCAUCCGGUGGACUCGACCGGCCUUGUUGCAGCUGAGUCCGUACCAGGUGCAAGGAGAGCGUAGGUGAGUCCACGAGGAGUUCAUGGCAGGGGGAGUUUUGGUUAGGGAGGCUUUCCAUUGGAGCAGAGCUUCUGCUUCUUGUGGGUGGUUGUUAGCAAAGGAGAUGGUUAAAGAAUAUAGUAAGAAGAUUAUUGCUACUAGUGAACAAUGGAAGGAAGCCAUUGUGUUGUUAAGAAAUGGUGAUUGUUAAUUGGGUAAAUAAUGAGAGACACUUGGAAUUGUGGCGUGAGAUUCGGGGAAAGCUUGUGUUUCUAAGUCAAUGCCAGGCAUCCACUAUGAAACUGCUGCUUGAGAGAAUACAACUAAGUGAAUUGACUUGUUAUUGACUCAAAAUUGAUGGCAAUCAGUGUUUUUUUCCAAGAACUAGUUAUUCAUACAACUUGCAACACAUACAAACCAGUCAUCCAUUCAAUUUUGGAUGCAGUGAAGAUAACAGUCACACCUGCUUCUAGAUAACAAACACCUAUGUCCUACUGACUUCAACAUGUACGAUAUUACGUAUUUUUGGAUCAUUUAUUUCGAUCAAAAUAACUCGUUUGGUGAUAGUUGUAAAAUUUGUGUAUUUUUAUUGUGUAUUUUAAUAAUAAUUGGAUGGUUUAUGGAUUUAUAUUAUUUGUAUUUAACAAAAAUCUAUGAGGAAUGAUAGAAAUAAUAUCAUUACCUAAUAUUUGACAGUUUUCCAGGUAUUUUUGGACGAAAACGACGAUAUAUACCGAUCAAAAGCAAGGACGAAUGCCGAUAUGAUUCCAGAAACAUGAACAUUUAUUGUUCUUAUCAUCUAUCAAUUAAAGAAAACAAUAAAUAAAUAAAUAAAGAAGAAGAAGAAAUGAAUGUUAUGCAUGCACCCACGUCCAUCGUUUGAAUAAUAAGACAAGAAAAUAAAAGAUGAAUAAAAAAUUUACAUGACUUGGUAUCUGCCCCGUCUAUGAAAUUGUUUUCAUUAUAUUAGUUUUGUUGUGUUCAUUUCUCAAAAGCUGGAGGAGUUUUGUCAUAUUGCAGUGUAUUUUUAUUAUUUGUUUUAGUUUGUAUUUGUUAUUGUGACAUUAACGUGAUAAGUGUUUGAUCAUUUGUUUCAAUAUUUAGUGUUUUAGAUGUUUACUUUAUCCAUGUUUAAUUUUGGUAAUGUUUUCUUUAACUAUGUGUAUUAUUAUUAUUUUCAGUAUGAACUAACUUUUCUAUUCUGGGGAAUUUUACUGAUUAAGUGAAGUUAUUAAUUGUUGAAUAUUAUCAAUUUACUUUUCUUCUCCGAUUUUAUGUGUGUUGCUAUUCGUAAUGCUAUAUAUUGACUGGCCAUCAAUUUAUUGUUUUGUUGUCUUUAGUAAGUACUCAAAAGGGAAAACUGAAGAUAGAACGCUGGCGCACUCUCAUAAUAAUCUAUUGAAGCGGAAGUGAAUAUGGAAUAUUGCGCGGUCGUUAAAAGGAUAAUCUGAUUAUUUGUAUUGGCUGCGGAAGUAGGAAUAUAAAUCGUCAUGUUGUAUGUGGCUAGUCUGGGAACCGAGAGUCGUCACUAUAGAGAUUAUUCGGUCGUAAAAUCAGGAGAUUAAAAUUUAUUAGUAAACGGUGUAUUUGCAUUUAAUAUUUAACUUAAAUUCUGAAAAAUUUCCCAGAGCUUUUUGUAAUUGGAUUUAAUCAUCAUGUCAUUUGUGUCAUUUGUGUUUGUUCAAUUCACUUUUUUAUAUUUUCAUUAAUCGAUUGUUAGAAAUUAAAAACAAUCAAAAUUAUUGGUUCGUGUUCACUUUGAGAAUUAAUUUAGGAAGUCGAUAGUAAUUGUUAGUCAUCGUGGGAUCGAUACUCUACUUACACUUUAUUACUUGAUAGACCUGUAUGCUCGCAAUAUAGAUUUCGUACAUCAUUUGGCAUCGAAAACAAAAUCUGUGACAUGACGAAUGGAGAGUUCUGCAGUUAUAUAUGAAAAGAUGUUGCCGUUGGAACAUCCGGCCUGCUAUCUGUAUAAGACAGGUCAAAUCCUUCUCCUCCUUGUUGCACUUUUUUAUUUGAACUUUUGAAUGCUCAUCCAUGUAAUACAUGCAUGGAUUAGCCUUGAAAUGAGAUCGGUUGCAGUGCAAACGACUAAGCCAUGUAUAAAUGCUAGCUUAGUGAACUGCCUUCUUAGGCCUUAGUUGCUUUAGAUGAAUGCUCUCUGUUUUGGACUUCUGUUUUAUACUCUGUCAUGCUCUUCUACGCAACUUCAAACAAUUUGAUUAGACUCAAUGUAUGUAAAUAUAAUUGGCUGAAACAAACAUACUUGAGGGUUUCUAAGCUUUGGAUACGACAUUGAAGCUAACUGCUCGCUUCUAAACUGUGGAGAAUACAAUUCAGUAAACUUGGAUUUCUGAAGAUUUGAAGGGCCAGUUGAAUGCAACUGUGCAAGCAACAUAUGAAGGGUAAUCUGUUUCUUUGAGCUUUCUUGCUCGUUUGGUUCAGUGGUUGUCCCUCAUAUUUAUUUCUUUUUAGUAGUAGGAUGCAUGCAAUUAGAACCAGAGGUGAAAAUAUUUGAAGGGUUUUCUUCGAACUUGGCUCAAGUCUCAGUUUCUGUUUUCUACUUCCAAUUUUCAUCACUGUACUAUUUCCGCGGCUGUGCCGGAUUCUUAUGAAUGACAAAAAAUACCUUUCUCUUCUUAUUGAGCUUGAUCACAGUAACUAUAAUCAACAAAUUUAAGCAACUAUUUCUAACUUGGACAAAACCUGAGAAACUAUUCUCAUAUCUGGCCUUAAUAUCGGAUCAUUGCUUAGGCACGAGAAACAAAGAUCAAUGAUCAGCUUCAGUCUGUCCUCAACUUCAGUUGCAGGCUCAGGUAAUCUUGGAUCCAAAAUCUCCUUCAGGUUUAGCUCCAUCUCCCUGUUGCGUUGAUGCAUCGAGAUUCGAGCUACCAAUUCAUGUGGAUAACUCCCUUGAAUCACUUCCAGAGCCACCACCCCGAAGCUGUACACAUCGCUCAUCUCCGUCACCUUCAACGUGUACGCCAGUUCUGCAAAAACCGACUUGAGAUUAUUAAAAAAAAUGUCAUAAAAUACAUUUUUGACAUUGUUUCAGGUGCACACACUUACCAGGCGCAAUAUAGCCGUAGGUUCCAGCAACACCGGUCCAAUUGGAAGAAUCAAGCUUCAGAGGCCUGGCAGUUCCGAAAUCGGAGACAUGAGCUUCAUAGUCCGCAUCCAGAAGAAUGUUGCUGCUCUUAAUGUCCCGAUGAACAAUCGGAGGGAAGCAUUCAUGGUGGAUGUAUGUCAACGCAUCAGCCACUCCUCUGAUAACGCUGUACCUCUUGGCCCAGUCAAACACGGUUCCUGCCUCACGGUUGUUGCUCAACACGGACUCCAAGCUCCCUCUCUCGAUGUACUCGUACAGAAGGAAUGAGUGUCUUUGGUGGGCGCAGUAGCCGUGGAACCUGACAAUGUUUCUAUGCCUUAUCUCGGUCAACGCCUUGAUCUCAGUUUCAAACUGUUUCAUCUCCCCUGGUUCUGCUGCUGAAUGGAACUUCUUCACUGCAACUGUCAUCCCCGAGGUCAGCUUCGCCUUGUAAACACUACCAUACCGGCCUUCCCCUAUCAGGUAAUCGAUGUCGUUGAAGUCAUCAGUGGCUUUGAUGACUUCCUCAUAGAGUGCCUUCCCUCCUCCGGUGAUCGAAGAGAGCAUAAAGUCGUCGUCUUUGCCUUCUUUUUGUGGUUCUUCCUCAUCACAACUUGUUCUCCUCCUCCUACUCCUCCAGAUUGUACAGCAGCUCCAUAACAUGAUGAGCGAAAAUGCGGUGGACACUCCGGUAAUUAUAAGAAUCUUGAUCCAUGAUUUCAGCCCACCUCCAUGGGUUUGUAGCUUGCAGGUUGGGAUGGAAGAGGAAACAACACCAUUACCUGAAGUGUGCAAGCUACAGAGUCCUUCAUUUCCUUGCAACCCAAGAAACGAUAGGUUUCCGUUGAAAUCGGGGAUCGCACCAGAUAGAUCGUUGUGGGAAAAGUCAGCCUGUGUCAAUCCGAAAAGUUGGUUUAGAGUGUGUGGGAUAGGUCCUGUGAGCCGGUUACUCGACAGGUUCAUGAUCUCCAGGUCCUCAAGAUUGGACAAUUCGUCAGGGAUCUCUCCUGUUAAUGUGUUGUUGCUCAAGUCAAGCUGCGAUAGAUGCUUCAGAUUCCCCAUGCUAGUUGGGAUCGAUCCUUCGAAUUCGUUGUUGCUUAAAUUCAAGUAGAAUAGUUUCCCUAAGCUUCCUAUCCCACUGGGGAUUGACUUGCUUAGGAUGUUUGAGGACAUGUCGAUUAUCUCGAGUUUAGCAAGCAUUCCUAGAUCUUGAGGUAGAGAGCCAGAGAGUUGAUUCGAAGAGAGAUCAAGUCUUGUCAGAGCAACGAAAUUUGAUAUCUCUCUUGGGAUUUCUCCCACCAAACUGUUGGAGGAAAGAUUGAGGACCUGAAGAUGAGUUGCGUUUCCUAGGUGAGGCGGUAACGAACCGGUAAUUUUGUUCCCCGCCAUGCUCAACGUAUCAAGCAGUGGAAAGCGAUCUCCCCAGUCAGAAGAGAUCUCGCCAUACAAGUUAUUGUGGCUUAAUCCGAUCAGUUUCAGCUUUGGAUAGAUGCCACUGAACAUAGUCGUUAUGUUCCCUGUGAGUUGAUUACCAUUAAAAAGAGCUCUUUCUAAGCUUGAGCAGUCUCUCAGACUUGCAGGGAUCGGACCUGAAAGUUGAUUGUUGUUUACUCCAAGCCUUUGGAGAGACCCACCAAGGCAAACGUCCGACGGAAUUGUACCAUUCAACUGGUUUCCGGAAACUUGAAGUUCAAUUAGCUUCGGCAGGUUUCCGAUCCCUGGAGGGAUUGAACCUGACAGUUGGUUAUCAGCAAGGAACAACACUUCCAUGUUGCUCAGUCGGGAAAAUGACGAAGGAAUCGGACCAUUGAGCUGAUUCGAACUCAAAUCCAAAUCCGUUAGCUCUUUCAGGUUGCCUAGUUCAGGAGGAAUGGACCCCUUGAGUUGAUUUCCGUACAGAUGAAGCAUGAGGAGGUUGGAGAGAUUACCCAACGACGAAGGAAUCACACCGGACAAAUUAUUCGUGUGAAGGCUUAUAUUCACAAGCGACACUAAGUUUCCAAGACUAUCUGGAAUCUGACCCGAGAGUCUGUUCUUGAAAGCAAAGAACAGAUUAAGUUUAC
rnacentral:lncRNA from 1 species